rnacentral:rRNA from 1 species
CGCGGGUUACGAUGUCGAUUUGGAGGUUGUGCCCUUGAGGCGUGGCUUCCGAAGCUAACGCGUUAAAUCGACCGCCUGGGGAGUACGGCCGCAAGGUUAAAACUCAAAUGAAUUGACGGGGGCCCGCACAAGCGGUGGAGCAUGUGGUUUAAUUCGAUGCAACGCGAAGAACCUUACCUACUCUUGACAUCCAGCGAAUCCUGUAGAGAUACGGGAGUGCCUUCGGGAACGCUGAGACAGGUGCUGCAUGGCUGUCGUCAGCUCGUGUUGUGAAAUGUUGGGUUAAGUCCCGCAACGAGCGCAACCCUUAUCCUUUGUUGCCAGCGGUUCGGCCGGGAACUCAAAGGAGACUGCCAGUGAUAAACUGGAGGAAGGUGGGGAUGACGUCAAGUCAUCAUGGCCCUUACGAGUAGGGCUACACACGUGCUACAAUGGCGUAUACAAAGAGAAGCGAACUCGCGAGAGCAAGCGGACCUCAUAAAGUACGUCGUAGUCCGGAUUGGAGUCUGCAACUCGACUCCAUGAAGUCGGAAUCGCUAGUAAUCGUGGAUCAGAAUGCCACGGUGAAUACGUUCCCGGGCCUUGUACACACCGCCCGUCACACCAUGGGAGUGGGUUGCAAAAGAAGUAGGUAGCUUAA